CCCUUAGAUGUCCUGGGCCGCACGCGCGCUACGCUGAUGCAUUCAACGAGUAUUUCCUUGGCCGAGAGGCCUGGGCAAUCUUUUAAACCUGCAUCGUGAUAGGGAUAGAUUAUUGCAAUUAUUAAUCUUGAACGAGGAAUUCCUAGUAAACGCAAAUCAUCAAUUUGCGUUGAUUACGUCCCUGCCCUUUGUACACACCGCCCGUCGCACCUACCGAUUGAAUGGUCCGGUGAAAUCUCGGGAUUGUGGCCAGUUCACUUUAUUGGGAGUUGGCUGCGAGAACUUGCUUAAACCUUAUCAUUUAGAGGAAGGUGAAGUCGUAACA
rnacentral:rRNA from 1 species